GCCAGACUCCUACGGGAGGCAGCAGUGGGGAAUAUUGCACAAUGGGGGAAACCCUGAUGCGGCAACGCCGCGUGAGUGAAGAAGUAUUUCGGUAUGUAAAGCUCUCUCAGCAGGGAAGAAGAUGACGGUACCUGAGUAAGAAGCCCCGGCUAACUGCGUGCCAGCAGCCGCGGUAAUACGUAGGGGGCAAGCGUUAUCCGGAUUUACUGGGUGUAAAGGGAGCGUAGACGGUGAGACAAGUCUGAAGUGAAAGCCCGGGGCUCAACCCCGGGACUGCUCUUGGAACUGCGUGGCUGGAGUGCAGGAGGGGCAGGCGGAAUUCCUGGUGUAGCGGUGAAAUGCGUAGAUAUCAGGAGGAACACCGGUGGCGAAGGCGGCCUGCUGGACUGCAACUGACGUUGAGGCCCGAAAGCGUGGGGAGCAAACAGGAUUAGAUACCCGGGUA
rnacentral:rRNA from 1 species